AACGAAGUCAGAAAAAGUUAACAUGUCUUCUGGAGAGCCAGAAGUAGAAUUGGGAUAAAACUACAAACCACAUUGGAGAUCUGUAAGGAAGAAGGACUGACUGGCUUCCCUCGGGUAGAGGACAAUAUUGGGCCUCCAAGGAAGGUUUCUUCACUCCCACCCAUCCACUUAGCAGAAUAUUUGUUGAAUAUGCACAAUGUUCUGUGGUCAAACGCUUUUGAUAUUUGCUGGUCUCCCUACCUGAGACGUUGGCCCCCCAUUCUCUGUAAAACUUCUGUUUGUUUUAGCAUCUCUGCUUAGAUAUCUCUUUGGAAUAACUUAGAAGAUGAUAGCGUAAAAUACUGCUUCAAGUGGACUGUCUCUACUUCCUCUGUUGCCAGGGUGGUCUUUGGCACAUAGCAGAUACUCAUAAAAAAUAUCUGUGGAAUUAAUGAGUAAAUAAAUGACUGUUAACAGUAACUGUUAGAAUGAGGCACUGGUCUUGGGUCCUCUCAUUUUGAGGCUUCCACUCAACUGCAAUUUAGGUAGACAUUACUUGAAUAUCAGAACAGGUUUCUCCAGCAGCAGGUGGAAGAAGGGAUUCCUGCACAGAAGGCAGUUAAAGCCAAUGCUUUCAACACAGAUGGGUUCUGACAAACAAGCCAACAGGUUUGCAUCAAUUAGGGGAAAAGUUUGCCAACCUCUGGAGUAAGAGGAUGGUGAAACCACAAGAUGGAAGGAUCCCGAGUCCCUGAUUAAUUCACCGGAGCAGAACUCAACGUUCCCCCAUCCCACCAACCUGCAUUGCCCUGUGACAGGAGGAGAUGGUUCAUAAAGACGCAUCACUUUCUCUAAGCAUUUGUUGUCAAAUAAAAUUGCAAACCACUGCUCUGAGAAGAAAAAGUCAGCAGCCAUCCCACUGGGGCCUUGCCUGGAGCCAAUGGGCUGUCCUGAAGCUUUGAAAUUCCACAGAAGUCAAAACUGAGAGUUUGCGUUCCUCGCAGACAAGCAAAACUUUCCACAGAACUAUCAUCACCAUGCAUCAGCAGAAGCCUGCCUUAUGUCAGCCUCCACCCCAGAAUUGCAGGUUAUCUUGGUUAGCAGUACCAACUGGGAAGGUAUCAGGUAAGACAAAUCUCAAUGUGAAAGUGUCAGUAGAAACUGGGUCACUUUUGAUAUUCUCUCCUUACAGGUGGACAAGGGUAAUAGGAAGAUGCAAUAUCCAAACAGAUGAGAGCUGUCUGGAAGGAAUUGUACUAUUGUACUUUUAAUUCAACCCACCAGAGUCACGCAGCUGCAAAACUGGCUAGACAGUGAGGCAACUUGUGGGCAAGGCCUGUGAGAAAACCCUUGAGUGCUUCCUGUUUGUCAAGUCAUUUCAGAGCUUGCCCAGCAGGCUUUGCCAUCAGUGACACCAGCUGAGGUGACUGAGGGCGGGAAGGCAGAAACGCCAGUGAUGAAAACGAGGUUUCCAGGCAAAUCCUUUGAUUUUCAGAGAUAGUUGUGGUUUUUAGUCAGGAUCAGGACCUUCUGCAGGUGAUAGAAAACAGUGGCGAACAGUGGUAGCUUAAUCAGGAUAGCAAUGUGUGUAUCUCAUGUAAACCAAAUCUGGAUUUGAGCAAUCUGAGACUGGUUUGGCAACCUCACAAUCAGCAGGGACUGUGGCUCCCUCUUUAGCUUGUUCCUCCACCAAAUCUAUUCAUGAUCUAAAAUGGCUCUUCAACCUCUCCACCCGGAGGAAGGAGAAGAAGAAGAAAAGGAGCCCCCUUUCUUUGAGAACACUUUGUCAGAAGAUUCAUGUUGCAGUUCUGUUUACAUUCAUUGUCUGGAACACAUUGGCUACAACUAGAGUUGAAGGUCUGGGUCUCUCUGCUGAUGGUCAUCAUGAUCGUGCACAGCAGUUGUCUCCUUCUCCAGCCACUCUGUGGUAGGCGGAAUAAUGUCCCCCAAAGAUGUCCAUGUCCUAAUUCCUGGAAUCUACAAAUAUGUUACCUUAUAUAACAAAAGGAAUUUUGCAGCUGUAAAUAAUUUAAG